AGGUAGCAUAAUCAUUUGUUUUUUUAUUGAAAACUAGAAUGAAAGAGUCGACGAAAAAUAGCCUUUCGAUUUAUAAAAUUAAAUUAACAUAAAGGUUAAAAGGCCUUUAAGAACCGGAGAGACGACAAGACCCUAUAAAACUUUACUAUUAUUUUAACAAAAAUAGUUUAACUGGGGCGGUUGGUACUAAAACUGUACAAUAAAAAAUAUAAAACAUAAAAUUUAAGAACUUGAUAUUUAAAAUCUUGAACAAGUUACUUUAGGGAUAACAGCAUAAUUCCCCCAGAGAGCCCGAAUCGACGGGGGGGCUUAUGACCUCGAUGUUGAAUUGAAAAUCCUCGUGUAAGCAGCCAUACAUAGAGGUAGUCUGUUCGACUAUUAAAAUUUC
rnacentral:rRNA from 1 species